GAUGAACGCUGGCGGCGUGCCUAAUACAUGCAAGUCGAGCGAACAGACGAGGAGCUUGCUCCUCUGACGUUAGCGGCGGACGGGUGAGUAACACGUGGAUAACCUACCUAUAAGACUGGGAUAACUUCGGGAAACCGGAGCUAAUACCGGAUAACAUGUUGAACCGCAUGGUUUAACAGUGAAAGACGGUCUUGCUGUCACUUAUAGAUGGACCCGCGCCGCAUUAGCUAGUUGGUAAGGUAACGGCUUACCAAGGCAACGAUGCGUAGCCGACCUGAGAGGGUGAUCGGCCACACUGGAACUGAGACACGGUCCAGACUCCUACGGGAGGCAGCAGUAGGGAAUCUUCCGCAAUGGGCGAAAGCCUGACGGAGCAACGCCGCGUGAGUGAAGAAGGUCUUCGGAUCGUAAAACUCUGUUAUUAGGGAAGAACAAAUGUGUAAGUAACUAUGCACGUCUUGACGGUACCUAAUCAGAAAGCCACGGCUAACUACGUG
rnacentral:rRNA from 1 species